GAUGAACGCUGGCGGCGUGCCUAAUACAUGCAAGUCGAGCGAACAGACGAGGAGCUUGCUCCUCUGACGUUAGCGGCGGACGGGUGAGUAACACGUGGAUAACCUACCUAUAAGACUGGGAUAACUUCGGGAAACCGGAGCUAAUACCGGAUAAUAUAUUGAACCGCAUGGUUCAAUAGUGAAAGACGGUUUUGCUGUCACUUAUAGAUGGAUCCGCGCCGCAUUAGCUAGUUGGUAAGGUAACGGCUUACCAAGGCGACGAUGCGUAGCCGACCUGAGAGGGGGAUAGGCAACACGGAAACUAGAAAACGGACAAAACUCCAAGGGAGGGAAGAAUUGGGAAAAUUACCGCAGGGGGGAAAGGCCUGAGGGAGAAACGCGGGGGGGGGAAGAAAGGUUUUGGGAUUGAAAACCUCUUUUAUUAGGAAAAAAAAAAGGGGAAAAAAAAUAUGCCCGUUUGGAGGGAACCAAAAAAAAAAGCCACGGUAAACUACUG
rnacentral:rRNA from 1 species